UAGGGAAUCUUCGGCAAUGGACGAAAGUCUGACCGAGCAACGCCGCGUGAGUGAAGAAGGUCUUCUGAUCGUAAAACUCUGUUGUUAGAGAAGAACAAGGACGUUAGUAACUGAACGUCCCCUGACGGUAUCUAACCAGAAAGCCACGGCUAACUACGUGCCAGCAGCCGCGGUAAUACGUAGGUGGCAAGCGUUGUCCGGAUUUAUUGGGCGUAAAGCGAGCGCAGGCGGUUUCUUAAGUCUGAUGUGAAAGCCCCCGGCUCACCCGGGGAGGGUCAUUGGAAACUGGGAGACUUGAGUGCAGAAGAGGAGAGUGGAAUUCCAUGUGUAGCGGGGAAAUGCGUAGAUAUAUGAAGGAACACCAGUGGCGGAGGCGGCUCUCAGGUCUGUAACUGACGCUGAGGCUAGAAAGCGUGGGGAGCAAACAGG
rnacentral:rRNA from 1 species